rnacentral:rRNA from 1 species
UACGAAGGGGGCUAGCGUUGCUCGGAAUUACUGGGCGUAAAGGGCGCGUAGGCGGACCUGUCAGUCAGGCGUGAAAGCCCAGGGCUCAACCCUGGAACUGCGCUUGAUACUGCGGGUCUAGAGUACCGGAGAGGAUGGUGGAAUUCCCAGUGUAGAGGUGAAAUUCGUAGAUAUUGGGAAGAACACCGGUGGCGAAGGCGGCCAUCUGGACGGUAACUGGCGCUGAGGCGCGAAAGCGUGGGGAGCAAACAGG